CACUUCUAUAGGAUCCUCAGUUACUCAUUUGCUUUUUAGAAUGAAGAGAAUUCAGAAAACAGUGAAAUGGUUGUCAGAACAUGAGGACUGCCGGAAGGCCAGAGAUUAAAGGAACACAGUAUGGAGCAGCUUGUCUUACAGCCCAUCUGCACGGCUUGCCGGAUGAUCUUAGCAUGA
rnacentral:lncRNA from 1 species